rnacentral:rRNA from 1 species
CCUGACCCCAUGCCGAACUCAGAAGUGAAACGCCGUAGCACCGAUGGUAGUGUGGGGUCUCCCCAUGCGAGAGUAGGGAACUGCCAGGC